CAUGGUGAUAAAUAUCCUGUUCUAUUUCCUGUUUAUACUUUAUACUUUCACUUUCUCCAGUGGUGACGCAGUUCUGUUCUCCGUGUUGAAGGCAGAGUCCUGUAAAAUAUUAUAAUCCUCUGGUUGAAGAAAUCUCUUGAACUCCGGUCUCUCGGGAGGUCGACUCUGACAGAUGAAGGGGGGAGGGGGACUCUCUCGGGCUCGCUCCACCUGUCACUCACUGCACGCCAUGACAGCACGAGGAGAGGAGAAAUGUCAGAGCAUUCAGAUCCUUACAGAUAAAAAAAACAGGAGAGAGGGUGAGAAGUUAAACCCUGAAGAGACAUGAGAAUGUUUAUUCAUGACAUCAUACGUUUCUUCAAACCAUGCUCAGAGCUCUGUUGAAGAGAGUUCAACAGGAGAGCUCCGAGGUUCACAGAGAUCAAUCAGACCAGC